rnacentral:lncRNA from 1 species
UUAGAGAGUCUUUGAUUGUGAACCUUUUCUUGAACUUUUAGGUUUCCUUAUGAUUGUGUCUAUUGAGAAUUUGAGUUUUGUUGAAUGAAUUGCUGACUGAAAUUUUGAUCCUAAGUGAAUAUUGAACUCCUAAAACUGUGGUAAAAAAGCCUAGUGAGUUCAACAUACAUAGGAAGGUUAAGCCCAAGGCAAUCAAUAUUCCAUGCUAAAAAAAAUUCAAAGUCUGAAAUCGUUGGUGCUGGCAGAUUAGACAUACGAACUUGUAAAAAUUACUGAGAAUUGGUCACUAUGAAUUUUGAGCUGAUAUUUUUACUGAAUUUUCUACACAUCGGGAAAAGAAUUAGAAAAAAAGAACCACGUGAUUUGGAUAAAAGUAAAAAAUACUAAAAAUCACAAAAUUUGGAAUAAAAAUCAGUAUCCAGGAUAAAAAUGAAAGGGAAGUGUGCUUGUUGUUUUGGCUAAAAACUUAUUCUACAAUUGGUUUCUAUCUUAUACCAAUCUUAGUUCUGAAAUUUCAAUUGAAAAUUAGUGGGAAACAAGUGCCAAAACUAGAGGUUUGUUGAGUCUUUUUUUUUUUACUCUACUCU